UCCAGAACCCAUUUAUGUUACUGUCUCUUUAAGGCCCCCCAGCAUUCCAGAACCCAUUUAUGUUACUGACUCUUUAAGGUCCCCCAACAUUCCAGAACCCAUGUAUGUUACUGUGUCUUUAAGGCCCUCCUCAGAAAAGAAAACACAUAGUUGACCAGCACCAAUACAAGAAUACAAUCAGCCAAUCCACCUCACAGGGCCGAACAUCUGCCUGUAGCGCAGGUGUCUGUGAUGAUGACAUGCAUGUAUUACACUUUGCAAACAGACGACACACAGACUCUACGAGCACAGUGGUCAGUUCUCUAUGUGGUCUGGUAAGGAUGAGCGCUCAGGCUAUCAGACGGACUUACUUUAACAAAUAGUUGCUUAAACAUGAAACUGCCAAGCAACAAAAAAGUAGCAUUGAGACAUGUUUCAGAUCAAAUUAUAUAUCUCACAUCCCGGGAUGUGACCUCUACACAUGUGCACUGCAUUGUUUAACCGACAUCUCAAGCAAACCUGAUCCAAAGGUAGAAAUUUCAGCCAAGUAAGGCCUCUAAAGCUCACAGUAAGAAGUCAUGUCGUCCUACCUCCACCUUCUGCUUCUUUGAUGUCUUCCUCAAUUGCUUCCUCAAUCGCCUCAUCGAAUUCAUCAAAUCUGCAACAUCAACAAAAACAAGAGCUCCUUUUAAAAGGUGGUAGAGAACAUCAGCCUUUAGCAUUACACCAGCUUACAUCUGAAACUUUACAACAACACAAAGUCUGCCUCAGACCUGUAGCUGAUGGAUUUCUUGGCUCUUGUAGAUCUUCGACCCCAGCUCUUACUCUUCUUUGUUUCUUUCUUCUCUUUGAUUAUGAUCUCAGGUUUUUCCUCCUCAGGCUCCACCUGUGAGGAGAGAGAGAGAGAGAGAGACAGAGAGAAAGAGAGUGUUCAUGCUACAAUCAUUUACAUGUGGAUAUUUGACUGGCAAACAAGCAGUCACAGUUUGAACAUACCGAGGGCGUGAUGAUGUUUUCAAGGCUGAUUCCAACAUAUAUUAGACGCUCUUUCCUGGAGGGGAUAAAACACACAUGAAGAAAGGACCAAAGAUUAAAGAAGGGAAGCAUCGAGGUUCGUGAGCUGCUCUUCUAGUUUGUCACAGAGCAGCUUCUGCAGGGAGGAAAAAACAAAACAUUAUAUGACAUUACCAUCUGUCACAUCUGUCACAUUUGAUGUUUGUCGCUGUGACUGGUACGUACAUGCUGACAGGGGGGACAGAACCAUUCUCCGUCGGGGAUGAUCAUGAGAGGAGGCCUCAGACAGGCGGUGUGGUACCCGCUGUCACAUGAAUCACACAGUAAGAUCUGCAGGAGAGAGGUUUAAAGACAUUAAGUCAGUUCAUCUUUCAAGCAAACAUGUCAAAUUAAAGCUGGCUAAACUUCA